rnacentral:rRNA from 1 species
CCCUUAGAUGUUCUGGGCUGCACGCGCGCUACACUGACACUAUCAACGAGUGCUCCUGGUUUGAAAGGAUCGGGUAAUCUUUUGAAAUGGAGUCGUGAUGGGGAUAGAUCAUUGCAAUUAUUGAUCUUGAACGAGGAAUUCCUAGUAAAUGUGAGUCAUCAGCUCACGUUGAUUACGUCCCUGCCCUUUGUACACACCGCCCGUCGCUCCUACCGAUUGAGUGAACCGAUGAGUAGUCCGGAUUGCGAUCGACCUCGGUUAAUCGCGAGAAGUUCCGCAAAUCACUUCACUUAGAGGAAGGAGAAGUCGUAACA